GGCGAUUUAGCUCAGUUGGUUAGAGCGUGUGCUUAACACUUGGAUCCCUACGCACAGCAGCAACUGUCCGGUGAAGAGUUACGCACAAGGUCGGCGGUUCGACCCCGUCAAACGUCA